ACAUAUAAUGAAUGAAUCACUAGUUAGCAUGCCAUAUCAGUAUCAAUGCAAAUGACAAGAAAAUCUUUAGGAGUCAGCUUCGACGCGAACUUACCAUAAUAUGCUUUCAAAAUAACCCCAUUUCAAUUAGGUCUUUUGAGGGUUGUAAUGUGGCCUAGUUCACGGUUUUAGGAAGAAAAGAUAUAAGGCUCAAAUCAUAUUCUAACCCACUCAAUCUCUAUGAUAUUCUCCAGUCAUACAUUCAGUUAGCCUGACACAAGCGUUCAUCUUUCAAAAAAGGAUUUUGAAUAGUCACGAUGAUGGUUAUGGAACCCAAUGAGAGUUUGCAGCGACAACCACUCACCUUCGGCUUUUGUUUGCAGCCACACGAAUUUGCUCUUGCUGAAGAUUUUUGUUAUUGAUCCUCUUAUUCUUUUAUUUUACUUUGUCUUUCCCUUAUUUUGGCUGGACUGAUCCUUUGGGUUUGCAGUCCACCGGGAUGCCCUAACUUUUGCCUACGUCGAUCUUGUUUUCAAGUUCUUGACUUAGCGGGCUUUUUUUUUCGCUUUUGAUUUUAUUUCUCAUCUUUUUUAUUGGAGCAAAUCAUGUGACAUUUGCUUGUUUAAUUUGUUGUGAGGGUCAUGAAUGUAUCACUCCUUUUGUUGGUAAGGUAUAAUCAUUACGAAUUUGUGAUUCAAUCCUCUUGAGAGGGAUAUGAUAUGAUUGAUCACUUGAUGUGAUAUUCUCUUUCUAAAUUUAGAACGCAAGGUCAAACUAACUGAAGAUUACCCUUCCCCUGGUUAAAAUUGGGGGUUUUAUGUAUGUAAAGAAAGAAGUUCCUACUUCAAGGCCCAAAUGGGUGUACUAGGGAUUAUCUUCCUUAUACCUCUGGUGUUUAGGGAUUUGAAACAAUGCCUUACAU
rnacentral:lncRNA from 1 species